CAGUAUUUUAUUAUAGGAACUUUACCCUCUGAAAAAAAACGAAAGAGCAAGCUGAUGGUUGAUUUUCAGGGAGAAGGCCGGUAGAGGACAGACGAAUAAGAAGUGGAAUCCAUACUGCUCCGAGGAGUACUACAUAGAUCACCGAGUCGUAAUUUUGUGGUGCAAGAAGAACAAGAUCCCAAUAGGAAAAAUCUACAGUGAGGAAGACCGCGAAUUCUGUGAAUGGGAAAUUGGCGAGGUCGAAAAGUUGGUGAAAGAAAAUACAUCAUUCGAGACUUCUUAUUAUUAUUAUAUGAAAGUAUUCGAUUGUAAAUACUUGCCGAUGGAAUUAGAGUAAUCAAGUCGCUGGUGUCCAGUUCUUAAGAAUUUUGUCAUUUUCAAACCUGACAUUUUAGGUAGAAUUACAAGAUGUGCAGUGUGAGUAAAUUGUUAGUCAACGUAACUGAAAUCGCUAUGAUAAUUUAGCGGGUAAAGUGCAUUUUCAGAUUGGUCUCAGAAUGCAUGGUGAUUAAUUAUUUAGUGGUGGAAAGGAUAAAAAGACAUGAGAUUGAACACUGUAUAUAUGUUAUAUAUAUUGUUACAAAGGGUGAAAUCACCCGUUUUGCCCCUUUUUAAUGAUCUAGUAGUCAUCAUAGAUUAAAGACGUUUAUAGACCUCUUAUGUCUUUCAAAAGAAUAAGGUUGCUGCGUCAACCAACAUUAUUGUAAAAACAGUCUUGUUUCAGACUUAAAACCAGAAACACGUACCCUGCAAUUAAAGCUUUUUCACGACAUUUA